rnacentral:rRNA from 1 species
ACACGUGAUUCAGUAGUUUGAUCCUGGCUCAGAACGAACGCUGGCGGCAGGCUUAACACAUGCAAGUCGAACGGUUGUAGCAAUACAGCAGUGGCGCACGGGUGAGUAACGCGUGGAUAUCUGCCUUUUGGUUCGGAAUAACUCCGGGAAACUGGAGCUAAUACCGGAUGGUUCCUACGGGAUAAAGAUUUAUCGCCAAAAGAUGAGUCCGCGUACGAUUAGCUAGUUGGUGGGGUAAUGGCCCACCAAGGCGACGAUCGUUAGCUGGUCUGAGAGGACGAUCAGCCACACUGGGACUGAGACACGGCCCAG